AGAGAAACAGCAGAAGAGGUUGUAAUGCAAAAAAUUAAAGAUCUUUCUAAUCUAUAAUUCAUGUCUCAGCAUCUGCUGGAUCUGACCAUAAGGAACAUCUAAAAGAUUUGAUUUAUUAUGCUUGACCAAAGUUUCUUUUACAUUCCUGGGUGCUGUCUUUUGUUAACAGUCUACUGAUACAUCCUUAUUGCUUCCCUUCCUGGGAGAGCUGUACUUCAUGUAUGCUACAUUCACACACAACAAUGGGGCGCAUUUGAUAUGUGGGAAGAAGACUGGGAAAUAAACCAUUAAUUCUUCAGUGCCUCGAAACUGCUGUUCUUUUGUGCUCAAAAGCCUAAGCUGCCUCAGGAUGGAUGAACAGAUAGAGAUAGAGGAGCAUGAUGAAGAAGAGACAUCCAGCAAGAACCCUGCCUAAGGACAGAAGCACAGAAUGAGUUCAUGCAUUAUUAACCAUAAAGAAUCCACACAAUUUUCUUCCUGCCCCAUUGGUUCUCCCAUUCUUUCACAAUUCAGUUUGUGUAUUGUUGUGAUGGAUUCUGUGCUCAGUAUUGACUGAGAACCUGACCUGGCUCCUGCUGAAGACGGUGGCAGGACUCCCAUUGACUUUGACGGCAGAUGGAUCUGAAGUGGAAUGUGAAUGAGCAGAUAUGUUCUAUAUUAAAGAAGAGCAUCGGAUGAUUUUGGGAAGAAAAAAAAAAGAAAAAAAAAGUAAUGCUUGAAAGUUUUCAGAGCAGAUGAGAAAUAAACAGACCAAGCACCUCAGCCUGGAAUGUCAUCUUCAUCUGUGAAUCAGAAUUUGGACCUGCUGCUGAUGAGUUGGAAAAGCAAUUGUGGCAUGAACAAUGAGACUUUGGGUUGACAGCCUAGGGGAGCUAUUCGACAGCUUCACAGACAGGCUUCCCAAUGUAAAUGAAGAUGAGAAAGUGCAUGAAAAAUCGAUCAUGCACUAGAGACAACACUUACUUCAUUAACUACCUUCAGCACUCACCUCUUGAACACUGUUAGUAAACCUAUUAUGUCACAGCUGAGAUGCAGCUGAAGAUUUUGCUUUGAGAAUUUAAACAAAGCUAUAUAAGAACGCAAACCAGAUUAAAAAGUAGUACCAUGUAAGUCAACUGCUAGUUGCUGACAUCAGUAAAAUAUUGUCUGUUACUAUCAGGAAACAUGGGAACAAUGAUUAAAAUUUCCUAAUAUUGCAGUAAAAUUUUUAGCUGUUACCUGGAAAAAGAAAAAAAAAAAAAGAGAGAGAGUAUUCUGCAGUGUGUGGAAUGCAAAUAUUUCUAAUAAGUGCUGUCAUGUGACAGGGAUACUAACAAGAACUUCUUAGAGCUGAGGAUCUGUUUUUGGAAUUUGCUCAGGUAAGUAAUGUAUAUAGAUAUACAGUCAUACAAGGGCUUCUCCAAAAGUAAUGCCUCCUAUUUUAAUAUGUUGACCCACUAUGUCAGAGGCAGAUAUUGAUGGUAUAACA